rnacentral:misc_RNA from 1 species
AAUUCUCAACCAUUGAACUUGUUUCUCUGGCUUGGAUGUGGGGGUUGCGGGCUUCGCAAGAGGUCGGCUCUCCUUAAAUGCAUUAGUGGAAACCGCUUGCAGGAUUCAUUCACUUUUUGGUGUGAUAGUAUCGUCGUCAGAAGUAGUGUUUCCGAGGUAUCUGCUCUCUAACCGUCCGCAAGGACUCUAUAAUGACUU